rnacentral:rRNA from 1 species
AUUGAACGCUGGCGGCAUGCUUUACACAUGCAAGUCGAACGGUAACAGGUUAAGCUGACGAGUGGCGAACGGGUGAGUAAUGCAUCGGAACGUGCCCGAUCGUGGGGGAUAACGCAGCGAAAGCUGCGCUAAUACCGCAUACGAUCUGAGGAUGAAAGCGGGGGACCGUAAGGCCUCGCGCGAUCGGAGCGGCCGAUGUCAGAUUAGGUAGUUGGUGGGGUAAAGGCUCACCAAGCCAACGAUCUGUAGCUGGUCUGAGAGGACGACCAGCCACACUGGGACUGAGACACGGCCCAGACUCCUACGGGAGACAGCAGUGGGGAAUUUUGGACAAUGGGCGAAAGCCUGAUCCAGCAAUGCCGCGUGCAGGAAGAAGGCCUUCGGGUUGUAAACUGCUUUUGUACGGAGCGAAAAGGUCUCCUCUAAUACAGGGGGCUCAUGACGGUACCGUAAGAAUAAGCGCCGGCUAACUACGUGCCAGCCGCCGCCGUAA